rnacentral:tRNA from 1 species
UAGCUCAGUUGGUAAAGAAUCUGCCUGCAAUGCAGGAAACCCAGGUUCGACCCCUGG